AUAAGCACAGGGUCCCAAUUCCCUGGGAGUCACCUCCCCACCCACAUGAAGAUGGCACUGCUGCCACAGUCAUCUGUGACCCAAGAGUCAUCCUUUCCACUAUUCUUGGUACAAUUACCAAUAAACCACAGCAGGGAAACCAUACCCCAUAGCUCUCCCCAGCCUUGCCCAGUGUGCCAGUGGUGAAGAAGCCAUUCCUUAGUGUUCUAGAACCCCCUCUGCAAAACAUAAUUAUGCAUAAGAAGAUGGUCCCCACUCCCAGCAAAUCACAGCUCUGCUCUAGGGAGCCUGCAGGGUAACAGGAGGCCAUCGCUCCUCUAGGGGAGAUGGGAGUCCCUCCCUUUUAUUCUCAUCCCGCUUCUCUCUCAGGUACAGUCCACCUGGUUGUAGUGGAAAGUAACAAUAAACUCUUGUCUUAAUCCACUUCACCCCCAAGUACAACUUCAAGCAGUAAGAAAUACAAUAUAAAACCUUCAUUCAAGAACCCUGUUCUCCCCACCCUGAUGCAAGGGUGGCUCUGUUGGAACAAGAGUGGCUGCCCAGGCCCUUUGAACCAUGGGAGAAGAUGUUCUGGGGUCAACUUCAAGACAGGGCUGGCAGUACUGGGACACUUGGCUGAGAAACAGGGGGCCUGCCCAGGUAAAGAGCUUCCCCCCAUGGACGUAAAUGGAGGGUCACAGCUGAGCUUCAGGAAGGGAAGGAAAGGAAAAGAAGGAGCAAGGAGUAUGGGGGCACACUUUCUCCUCAUACUGGGAUUCCAGCUCACAUCCCAGUCCUUCCCAGUGAGCAGUCAUGAGAACCUCACCCUGAGAAAGGAGGCAGCGAUGGGGCUUUUCUCUAGGUGCCCUAGCUCUCCCUCUCCACUGAAGUUGGAGACUAGACACUGGUGGUGGAGGGGCAGAAACUUAGGCCCCAGGUCCUAUGAGCAGAUCCCUCUACAGGUACCUGGGGCUCAGAUGGUAUAAGACAGGAAGGAGGGAGCCUGGGUAGGGUCAGGUGGUGGCUCCCCACAAUUAGAAAACAUGGCUUUUCUGCAUGCAUUUCUUUGGAUGGGUGAGGUGGUCUCCUGCCCUGUAUUCUUGCUUGACCAAUAAUCACAGGCUUUGAUUCUUGUGAAAGAACAAGAAAGUCAGGAGACAUCUGGAACAAAGGCAGCAGCAGGAAGAGCAACACAGAUGCAAUAUAGUGUCAGGUAUAGCCCGGCUUACUGUCCCCAACUAGGCAGCAAGAUCAAUCAGCCUCCCUCACAGAAACCAGCAGAAUGGGGCAUUGUGAUUUUGAUGAUUUUUUUAUUGUAUUGAGAACACUUCACUUGAGAUCUCCUCCCUUAACAAGUUUUUAAGUGUACAAUAAGCUAUUGUUAACUACAACAAUGUACAACAACAUUGUACAGCAGAUUUCUAGAAUGUAUUCACCUUGCAUGACUGAAACUGUGUACCUAUUGAAUAACAACUCUCCAUCUCCCCCUCCUCCCAGUCCCUGGCAACCACCAUUCCACUCUCUGCUUCUGGGAGUUUGACUAUUUUAGAUACUCCAUAUAAGUGAAAUCCAGCAAUCCUACUCCUGGGUAUUCAUCCAAAAGAAUUAAAAUCAGGUUCUCAGACAUGCACUUCCAUGUUGAUUGCAUUAUCCACAACAGCCAAGAUGUGGAGGCAACCUUGGUGUUCAUUAACGAAGGAGCGGUUAAAGAAAAGUGGAAUAUACAUGUAACGGAGUAGAAUUCAGCCUUAGCAAAGAAGGAAAUCCUGCCAUAUGCAACAACAUGGGAAGUGGUGAGGGCUUUCACUAGAGGUAGGGGUGGAGAAGGAAGCUUCUUAGGGUAGUUUAAGGAGGUAGGAAGCAACAUCACAGUUUGGCCACAUCUCCUUCCUGUAGGAAAUACAAAAUCCAAAGAGACACAAAGAGAAGAGAGAAAGAAAAUAUAGCAAACAUUCUAAUGCCAUCUUUGCUACUGGACUUGUACACGUUUUACUGCCAUUUCUCAUUUCACCCUCAGAAUAACCUCUGAAGAGGUCAUUGUAGUUCCCAUUUUACAGACAAGGUCUCUGGGCUGGUAGAAGGCCUGGGUAGGAUGGUUAUUCAUGAGCUGAGAAGGAGAAUCUCAGACCACCACAGUGGGUGCUCUCAGGACCAUUCCAAGGCUUUCUGGCUAAGAGUCCAGGGGAACAUCACCUGGGGCUAGGGAAGAGCUUUUGGAACCAAGAGCUCCAAAGGCUGGGAUUGCCCAAGAGGACAAGGGGGAGGGGCAUGUUGGGCACCUUGCAGUGUGGUGAUUCCAGAGGCAUGCACCCUGGCUUGCCAAAUGUCUCAGAGGGCUUGGGCUCCACAGGCCCUCUGCUAUGGAGAGCUUUUCUCAGCCCUUUCCACCUACUACAUGAUUCUAGGAAUCUUCUUCUGUGGAAGGAGGAGCUUUGGGAAUCUGCUGGGCUGCAGAGGUAGUCCCCAUCCAGCUCUAUGCCACUAGUGACAGCUCCAGAGUUUUGCUCUCACCAACACCCACAUGCUUCUGCUCUAUAAAGAUAUCAUAUUUACAUAUUGACCUUCUUGCCCCUCCUACUGUAUGAACCACACUCACAAAUGCACACACGAAGGCUUUGAGCAGCAUUGAAAUUGAUCAAGCCUGAGUAUCAUAGAACAAGUGUCCUAUCUGCUAGAGUUUGGCUGUACCUUGACCUCAGAUAUCUGCCAUUCAGAAUGGAAUGCCCAGCUCUGGGCAGGCACUGGAUCAGAACAACCAUAAGCUUAGGCAUCUGCUUCUCCCUCUUUCUCCACCUCCAUGUCAAGGGCACCCCCUCACUACAAACUGGGCCUGGGGUGGUGGUAUAAGGCAUGGGGCAGGGAACUGGGAAGCUCCCUCCACCCCAUCUGAUUUCAGACCUGCCUCCUCAGUGCCCCAUGUGUGACCCAGCUAUAUUUAGCAAGCUCAAUUCAGUAACUAGAGCAACUGGUCUAGCGCCCUCCCCUUCCAAGGACUCUGAAGGGGCCAGUUUCUCACACCUUUUAAUCAUCUUCCAUUUCUCCAGGCAACCAACACAAAAGGCCUGGACCAGGUGGUGGAGAUGCUGGGGCUCCUACACAGAGGCUCUAUUUUCUGUUUGCAGUCUUCCAGGCCAGAUAAGAAAACUGAGACACAGAAAAGUCACACAAGAUUAUCGAGGUCAACACAGAGAACAGUGGAACCUGCACCUGACCCCAGGCAGGCGGAACCUUCAUGACCACACCACACCACCACAGGGAACAGGCAGGGAAAACAAUGGGUCUAGCAGGACAAAAGUGACAUUUCCCAGAGUUUCUUGCUGUUUGGAUCUGGCUGCAGUUUCAGUUUUGCCAAGAAGAGGCAUUUCCAUGAGCUCUGGACAGUGGCAGAGAGGCAGAGGUGCUCCACUGCAGUGUGCUGGAUGGUCCACGGGCUCCUGCCAAUGUGAGGAUUUGCAGCAACUGGUAUAUCCAUGGUCUUGUCACCAGCUUCCUGAAUUCGGGGCAGCUGGAGCCACACUAGUGGUCCUUCCUUGCAGGGGCAGCAGCUGUCUCCUGGUCUCAGAAUCACAGCUGUGGGGAUGCAACCUUAAGCCAAAAGCCUAGCGGUGGGUGGUCCUAAACUUCUUUUGUCUAGGCCCUCUGAUCCCUCUGUAAGUCGCUAUUUCCC
ensembl:lncRNA LINC00951 long intergenic non-protein coding RNA 951